GGAUAGCUGUAUCUUCCAAGGAAGACAUCUUUGAUGAUAUUUAGCCUCCAGUCUUAAUCUGCAGAAGGGGAGAAAUGUGAUGAAGGUUGUCUCAUUCCACAAAACAUGUGGUAGGUUAUAGUCUGACUGUAGAUCUCCAGCUGGAAUAGAAAAUACAAGCAACUAGAACCCAUGCCUCCAGCUUGCCACCGAU
rnacentral:lncRNA from 1 species